CCUACGGGUGGCAGCAGUGAGGAAUAUUGGUCAAUGGACGCAAGCCUGAACCAGCCAUGCCGCGUGAAGGACGACGGCCCUAUGAGUUGUAAACUGCUUUUGUACGAGGGUAAAUGCCGAUACGUGUGUGGGGUUGAAAGUACCGUACGAAUAAGGAUCGGCUAACUCCGUGCCAGCAGCCGCGGUAAUACGGAGGAUUCAAGCGUUAUCCGGAUUUAUUGGGUUUAAAGGGUGCGUAGGCGGAUCGUGAAGUUAGAGGUGAAAUCCCGAGGCUCAACUCCGGCACUGCCUCUGAUACUGGCGGGCUAGAGUUUAGUUGCGGUAGGCGGAAUGUAUGGUGUAGCGGUGAAAUGCAUAGAGAUCAUACAGAACACCGAUUGCGAAGGCAGCUUACCAAACUACGACUGACGUUGAGGCACGAAAGCGUGGGGAGCAAACAGGAUUAGAUACCCGGGUAGUC
rnacentral:rRNA from 1 species